rnacentral:rRNA from 1 species
GUGGGGAAUUUUGCGCAAUGGGGGCAACCCUGACGCAGCAACGCCGCGUGCGGGACGAAGGCGUCCGCGUCGUAAACCGCUUUCAGCGGGGAACACUUAAACGAGGGUACCCGCAGAAGAAGCCCCGGCUAAAUACGUGCCAGCAGCCGCGGUAAUACGUAUGGGGCGAGCGUUAUCCGGAUUCAUUGGGCGUAAAGCGCGCGUAGGCGGAGCGCUAAGCGGGACCUCUAACCCGAGGGCUCAACCCCCGGCCGGGUCCCGAACUGGCGCUCUCGAGUGCGGUAGGGGAGAGCGGAAUUCCCGGUGUAGCGGUGGAAUGCGCAGAUAUCGGGAAGAACACCGACGGCGAAGGCAGCUCUCUGGGCCGAAACUGACGCUGAGGCGCGAAAGCUGGGGGAGCGAACAGGAUUAGAAACCCUAGUAGUCC